GUCUAGCCAGAUGUGUAGCACACACCUAUAAUCUCAGCUACUCAGGAGAUUGAGGCAAGAGGAUCACAAGUUCAAGGCAAGUCUGAGCAAGUUUAUAAGACUCUGUUUUUUGGUUUGUUUUUAAUUUUUUUUUUUAGUUGUAGAUGGACACAAUGCCUUUAUUUUAUUUGCUUAUUUUUAGUGGUGCCAAGGAUCGAACCCAAUGCCUCAUGCAUGCUAGGCAAGCUUCCUACCACUGAGCCACAAACCCAGCCCCAAAGAACCUGUCUUAACAUAAAAACAAUUGAAAAAUAAUAUUUAAAAAAAGAAAAGUUAGCCCAGCGAGGCAUGGUGGCAUGCAGCUAUAAUCACAGCACUUAGGAGGCUGAGGCAGGAGAAUUCCUUAGGCAACCUCAGAAAAAAAAAAUUUUUUUUGUUCAAUAUUUGGGGUUUUCCUAGAUAUCUAACGGUUAUUAAAUGUCUAAUUUAUUUCUCUUGUGAUCAGAGAGCAUGCC
rnacentral:lncRNA from 1 species